rnacentral:rRNA from 1 species
CUACGGGUUGCACCAGUGAGGAAUAUUGCACAAUGGGGGGAACCCUGAUGCAGCAACGCCGCGUGGAGGAUGACGCAUUUCGGUGUGUAAACUCCUUUUAUAUGUCAAGAAAAUGACGGUAGCAUAUGAAUAAGCACCGGCUAACUCCGUGCCAGCAGCCGCGGUAGUACGGAGGGUGCAAGCGUUACUCGGAAUCACUGGGCGUAAAGGACGCGUAGGCGGAUUGGAAAGUCAGGUGUGAAAUCCUACAGCUUAACCGUAGAACUGCACUUGAAACUUCUAAUCUAGAGUAUGGGAGGGGAGAUUGAAUUAGUGGUGUAGGGGUAAAAUCCGUAGAUAUCACUAGGAAUACCUAAAGCGAAGGCGAUCUCCUGGAACAUUACUGACGCUAAGGCGUGAAAGCGUGGGGAGCAAACAGGAUUAGAUACCCUCGUAGUC